UGGGGAAUAUUGGACAAUGGGCGAAAGCCUGAUCCAGCCAUGCCGCGUGUGUGAAGAAGGUCUUCGGAUUGUAAAGCACUUUAAGUUGGGAGGAAGGGCAUUAACCUAAUACGUUAGUGUUUUGACGUUACCGACAGAAUAAGCACCGGCUAACUCUGUGCCAGCAGCCGCGGUCAUACAGAGGGUGCAAGCGUUAAUCGGAAUUACUGGGCGUAAAGCGCGCGUAGGUGGGUUGUUAAGUUGGAUGUGAAAUCCCCGGGCUCAACCUGGGAACUGCAUUCAAAACUGACUGACUAGAGUAUGGUAGAGGGUGGUGGAAUUUCCUGUGUAGCGGUGAAAUGCGUAGAUAUAGGAAGGAACACCAGUGGCGAAGGCGACCACCUGGACUAAUACUGACACUGAGGUGCGAAAGCGUGGGGAGCAAACA
rnacentral:rRNA from 1 species